UAAUUGAAGCCAAAAUAGAGGCUUAUCACUGUUAAUGAUAGAAUUGAAAAAUAAUUUCCAAUUAAA
rnacentral:tRNA from 1 species